rnacentral:rRNA from 1 species
CCCUGAUGCACAAGGUACUUUAAUAAACUUUUUUAAUUUUUAAUUUUCAUAAUUUUCAAUUCUCCUUUUCAGUUAUAUAAAACUUUUAACCCAAAUCCUAUACAUAUUUUAUAAAUCUUUUUCAGCAAACUUUAAAAAAAAAAUUCCUUAAAA